rnacentral:rRNA from 1 species
GACGAACGCUGGCGGCGGGCUUAACACAUGCAAGUCGAACGGAAAGGCCCUGCUUUUGUGGGGUGCUCGAGUGGCGAACGGGUGAGUAACACGUGAGUAACCUGCCCUUGACUUUGGGAUAACUUCAGGAAACUGGGGCUAAUACCGUAUAGCAGCCCCCGCUGCAUGGUGGGGGUUGGAAAGUUUCGGCGGUUGCGGAUGGACGGGCGGCUGAUCAGCUUGCUGGUGGGGUAGUGGCUUACCAACGCUGUGGCGGGUCGCCGGCAUGUGAGGGUGAACGGCGACCAUGGUACUGCGAGACGGAGCAGAGUCGUACGGGAGGCAGCGGGGGGGAAUCUGGUACAACGGGAGCGAGUGUGAGAAGGAGACGUUGGGGUUGUGAAGCCGGCUUGCGGGUAGAAAACAGCAGCAGCUUGAGACGACGCUGUAGUGACGGUAAUGGGAGAAGAAGCACCGGCUAACUACGU